GCGGCGAUGGCGAAAGUGGUAGACGCGCUGGGUUCAAAACUCGGUAAAUUUGGGAGUUCGAGUCUCCUUCGCCGUACCA
rnacentral:tRNA from 1 species